rnacentral:sRNA from 1 species
CUGGAAAGGGAGCAGCCAGGCUAAGGUCUUAAUUCAUUUUCCUCUCUUCUGCUGAUAUCUUCCUUCUGCAGGACCUGUGCUCCUAAGGGACUUGCAAUCAUCCCAUCCUUGGCCCUCUGGCAAGUGCCCUGGUGGGCCUGGAGGGUCCCUAUCUGGCCAGGAGGAAAUGAGUGGGGAAGGCAAUGUCCCAGCACUGAUGCUCUACUCUUCCUGUUCCCUGCUGUAGGUUAAUCGCCUUAGAAAUGGCAAAGAUUCAUACUAUCCACGCCAACGGCAGCCUGCCCAAGCCCAUCCUCUGGCACAAGAUGCACAAUUAUUUCACGCUUGUGAAGAACGAGAUCAACCCCAGCCUUUCUGCAGAUGUCCCUAAGGUAGAGGUGUUGGAACGGGAGCUGGCCUGGCUGAAGGAGCAUCUGUCCCAGCUGGAGUCCCCUGUGGUGUUUUGUCACAAUGACCUGCUCUGCAAGAAUAUCAUCUAUGACAGCAUCAAAGGUCACGUGCGGUUCAUUGACUAUGAAUAUGCUGGCUACAACUACCAAGCUUUUGACAUUGGCAACCAUUUCAAUGAGUUUGCAGGCGUGAAUGAGGUGGAUUACUGCCUGUACCCGGCGCGGGAGACCCAGCUGCAGUGGCUGCACUACUACCUGCAGGCACAAAAGGGGAUGGCCGUGACCCCCAGGGAGGUGCAAAGGCUCUACGUGCAAGUCAACAAGUUUGCCCUGGCGUCUCACUUCUUCUGGGCUCUCUGGGCCCUCAUCCAGAACCAGUACUCCACCAUCGACUUUGAUUUCCUCAG